rnacentral:rRNA from 1 species
AUUGAACGCUGGCGGCAGGCCUAACACAUGCAGGUCGAACGGUAACAGGAAGCAGCUUGCUGCUUCGCUGACGAGUGGCGGACGGGUGAGUAAUGUCUGGGAAACUGCCUGAUGGAGGGGGAUAACUACUGGAAACGGUAGCUAAUACCGCAUAACGUCGCAAGACCAAAGAGGGGGACCUUAGGGCCUCUUGCCAUCGGAUGUGCCCAGAUGGGAUUAGCUAGUAGGUGGGGUAACGGCUCACCUAGGCGGCGAUCCCUAGCUGGUCUGAGAGGAUGACCAGCCACACUGGAACUGAGACACGGUCCAGACUCCUACGGGAGGCAGCAGUGGGGAAUAUUGCACAAUGGGCGCAAGCCUGAUGCAGCCAUGCCGCGUGUAUGAAGAAGGCCUUCGGGUUGUAAAGUACUUUCAGCGGGGAGGAAGGGAGUAAAGUUAAUACCUUUGCUCAUUGACGUUACCCGCAGAAGAAGCACCGGCUAACUCCGUG